GCUCUAAGCUCCCAGGGUUCCGGCGGCCUGUGGUUGAUCCACGACUUGAGACCCACAGUCAGCGACCCAAUAAUAACCGACUUUGAGGAGAAGAAAAACUUGCACGACCCACCUGGAACGCUCGAAACCGCCUCCACCUGCAGUCUUCACGCCGACCUCCUCCACUUCACCCGUCCUCAUCCCUCCUCUCCCCCACAGUCCCUUCGGACCGGCGGCCACACGCUGCUCCUCUCCCCCGUCCCCUCCGCCCCCAAUCCCCUCCCACACGUGCGACCUGACCUCCUGGUCGUCGGCGAGCUCGGCAUCGCCGCCAUGGAGGUCGGGGGCGCCGCGUCCUGCCUCCUUUGAAGCACCGAGCGGUCCAGCAAUUAGCUGUUGCCGACAUCCGCCCGGACUCCAGGUCACAGCAACCGGAGAACAUAUGUCUGAAGUGGAGUGCGGUGCACUUCUAACACAAGUAUCUGACCACGUUUAAGAAGCUCGUGACAAUAUAUGAUGUAUGCCUAGGACUAACUUCAGUUGGGACUCACCUCAGCAUCGCAACAGCAUAAUUGCUGCAGUUCCUCAUGCUCCUUGGCUCUCAUUCCACAUGGCAGAGAACUUCUGGCUGCUUCUAGCUGCUUUAAACAAAGUCUGGUUAUCCCAGAAGGUCAGCUUCAUGGACGAGGCUACAGCCAUAGUUGCAGCAUCAAAAGCUAUACACGAUACCGAGAAAGCAUUAGGUGCGAGUCCUAGGAAAAUACGAGUUGCAGUUAGGGAGUCAAGGCAGUUGACGGAGUGACGAAAGGCAUAGGUUGUUAAUGGGCAAGUUUCAAGCCCCAGCGGAGGGAAAUCACAACCUGACAUCCUUAUGCUUGUGCGACGCAUGUAUAGGCUGUGAUAGCAAGACUAGAUUUAAGCUGAAGGCUGAAGCUCAACAGCGCGGUAACAAGAGCCCAUGCGCCUGGUGUAGGUCCAGUGGGGGAGGAUGGCAUUGAGGAGGAAGAGGAGGAGGAAGAAGAGGAAUACAACGAUUACGAGAAGAAGUACAGUGAUGACGAGGAAGAAGAGAAGAACAAGGGAAAAGGCAAGGUUGCAAAUGGAGUAGUGCAUAAAAAGUCGAUAGAACACAUUGUUAUUCAGGAAGGACCUGAAGUAGCUGCAGUUGAAUCCUAGGUUGUUUGUCAUGGCAAUGUGCAAGUUUGAUCCCAGCCGGUGGGGAGGUUUGGCGUAUUCAGCGGUGUGCCAUUGGAAAAGCUUCAGACCGGCUCUACUGGAGUAUGCAUAACUGAAGUAUUGCGUCCGAGCAUCGUUCCAGAUGUAAGCUAAAAAUUUACUUAGACUAUGUAUACAAUUUUUUCUCCGCUAUGCUUGGUAGGCAACAAUCCAAUAAUUGUUUUUCUUUCUAAAAUCUAUUCCUUUUGUUACAUGUUUUCUGCAUGUUAAGUCACGAACAUGACAAAUUAUGGUCUUUUGGGUGAUAAGAAGGAAAGCUGGUGCUGAGUUGUUGUUAUUGAUGUCCUUUGGUAAGGUAAUAGAAGACGUAUAUAUUUUUCUGGUUCUUCCAUUAGGAGCCGAGAAUGACACUUUUGUUCUUACUGUGAUUCCAAAUUUAUUUCUCCUCAACAGGUUAUUGGGGCAUAGUUUGGUAUCUGGCAACUGGGCUGAGGCAAAUUAUUUUACUUUUAUCUUAUCUUAAACAUUUUGGUGUGUGGUCUUGAAUGGUUAGAUACCAUGUCUAAGUUGUACUUCGACUACCUAAUGGCUACAGUGUUCAAGUUAUUGUUCUUUAAAUAGACGUCUUAUAAAUUGAGUGUCACUGUAAUCAGCUUUCUUGAUUUAAUCUCAGUUAUGUUAGUUCGUCACUUGCAUACUGAAUAGAUAACUUAGUUGGACCUAUGUUAGUUCGUCCUUUGAAUUGAUUUUGUAGUAGCAGUGAAAGAAUGUUUGUACCAUUCCUAAUUACCUUGGAUAUCAAUUCUGUAAAUCAGUUCUGAUGGGUAAUAAAGUAUGUAUGGCUCUGUCAAGUUUGUGUUCUUAGUGACCAGAUAUGAGAUCCAAAACUCAUGGAUAGCCCUAUUUUAAUAUAUUUUCUCAUACCUUGCCAAUAAGAUGUGACAUUUCUCUGUCGUUUGUUGUUAGUGAAAUGCAUAGUUUGUUGUUAGUGAAAUGCAUACGAAAUAAGAAAACGUAAGUACCAAAAACGGCGCAGCAACGCGCGCAGGGUCCUU